rnacentral:rRNA from 1 species
UACGUAGGGGGCGAGCGUUGUCCGGAUUUAUUGGGCGUAAAGAGCUCGUAGGUGGUUUGGUAAGUCGGAUGUGAAAUCUCCAGGCUCAACCUGGAGGGGUCAUUCGAUACUGCCAUGACUAGAGUUCGGUAGGGGAGUGCGGAAUUCCUGGUGGAGCGGUGAAAUGCGCAGAUAUCAGGAGGAACGCCUGUGGUGUAGACGGCUCUCUGGACCAUUACUGACACUGAGGUACGAAAGCGUGGGUAGCAAACAGG